CCCCUAGAUGUUCUGGGCUGCACGCGCGCUACACUGAAGCGUUCAACAAGUAUUCACCUUGCCCGGGAGGGUUGGGUAAUCUUUUGAAAACGCUUCGUGAUGGGGAUAGAUUAUUGCAAUUAUUAAUCUUCAACGAGGAAUUCCUAGUAAGCGCGAGUCAUCAGCUCGUGCUGAUUACGUCCCUGCCCUUUGUACACACCGCCCGUCGCACCUACCGAUUGAAUGUUUCGGUGAAGAUUCCGGAUAGGACUUUUUUGAUUUAUUUCAAUUCUGUCUUAAAAGCUAUCUAAACCUCAACAUUUAGAGGAAGGUGAAGUCGUAACA
rnacentral:rRNA from 1 species